CGUUUUGUGAUGAUGAUUAUUGUUGUUUAACUAUGUUCUUACAUAAUUUCUUUCAGGUUAACGAAAAUGGGACAAGAUUACAGCUACAGUCAGUCCUUUUCAUCAUCAGAGUCUGUAGACAUAACCUCCCUUCUUGAAGCCGAAUGUCAGAUUUACGGGGAUGAAGCUGACAGUAGCUACUGCAAUUCAUUGCCGGUUCAGUACCCACGUCAACCAGAGGCUGAUGAUGGAAUCCCCACGAUAUGUUACUGUGGAGCUCAGCCUGUUCUCGGAUGCUCUUACACUUCUAAAAAUCCAUACAGAAGGUACUUUACGUGCGACAAUGCUGAUGAUGGAGACUGCCACGUUUGGAAAUAGUGGGAAGUGGCAGUAAUGGAGGAGAUGAUGGAGUUUCAGAGACAACUUAGGAUCUUAAGGUCCAAGGUUAUGAGAGUGAGCAGAAGGUCCUUCACCUUGAGAAGACGGUACAUGAGCUUUCCAAGAACAAAUCAGGAGUUAAGCUAACGGUCUGUCUGUUAGUUUUAAUAGGUUUGGUGUUAUUGAUUGUGCGAGGAAUCAUUGGAAAGGUUUCAAAGGAGAGUGGCGGUCCUCGGGAUUUUCUGUAAUAAGGUAUGAUAUUUUUAAAAAAGUUAGUAUUGAUGUUGUGUUUGAAAUGAACUUAGUUUGCUUGUAACUUGCUAUCUGCUCUGAUUUGAGUUGCUUUAAUUACUUACUUAGGAAUUAAUUCGGCCUAGCUUUGGUGUUAAAUGAUAGUUAUUUGCUUUCUAUCUACCCAACUGCUCUGAUUUGAUAGGCUUUAAUUAGUAGGAAGUUAGCUUACUUAAGGGUCUUUGUCGGUAGAAUAAUGUCACACACCAACUUGUAAACAUGGCUAACACUUCCGGUUAUGUAAACCUACUAACUAGUCAAAUCCCCAUUGACAUUGAAUCACCCGAAGCUAAUUGGUUCGAUAGCCAAGUUCCCGAUAAGUCUGGUGUGAAGGAGAGGAGGAAAUGGUCUCCCACAGAGGAUAAAAUCCUUAUUGGUGCGUGGCUUAACACCAGUAAGGACCCUGUGGUGAGCACUGAACAGAAAGCUGAUGCUUUCUGGAACCGUAUCGUUGACUACUACAACGCAAGCCCUCUCCUGGUGGGUACUAUACCGAGGAACAGGGGCAAUGUCUUCUUUCUCAUUCGACUACUGUUUUUUGGCUGAGGUCACUGCUUCAAAUCUACAAGAAGACAAAUUUGUGAGUCAAUUUAGUUAGUCAAAUAAAUGGUUUAAUCUAUUAUGUGUCUUUACGUUAUUUGUUUGCAGUAUCUUCCUGUGGGAGCUACGAGUUCUACUGCUUUGAACAAACAAUGCCAAGAGACCAUACUGGUGAACAAAGAGGGAAAUUCAUGGAAUGUGAGUUUGCGAUUUACCGAAUCAGGCGGCAAGUAAUACAUCACAAGAGGCUGGAGAAAGUUUUGUCUCGAUAACAAUUGCGAGAUAGGAGACUUAUUUGUGUUCAAUGUGGUUGGAGAUGGGAAAACUACUCCAUUGAUGUAUGUAUGUCCGGAAAGAAAAGAGUGCUCUGAAAUACUGAGCAAAUACUUGAGCAGAAAGAGUGGUGAAUCUUCUCACAGAUGAAUUAGGAGAAUGCUCAAGUCUUUUCCUCUGCUUUGACCGUGUGUUUAGCUACCGUUACAUCUUAUAAACCCUUAUGUGUAAUCUUUAUAUUUAAUCAUGUUUUUAUUUAAUCAUGUUUUAUUUAAAUUUUCCUUUCUAAAAUUAUAUAUAAAAAAAAAAAAAUUUAUAUACCUAAGGACUCCGCAAUCAGACUCACCAUUGGACUCACUAUUUCGAUUCGGAUCCUUCACUAUUCAAACAAAAACAAAACAAAAAAUAUAUUAAUAUUUAACUAUCUAAGGACUCCGCAAUGGGACUCACCAUUGCGGAUGCUCUAAGGCCACUCAAACUUUCCCUCGUCAAUAAACAUUAGAUCAAAGCUCAUAAGAUACAUUAUGUGGAUUCUUUGAUCCUAUUAGAGCAUGUUUAUUGCAGGUCUCUUAGGUUGGAUCUCUUAUCGUAAUAUAAGAUACGGUCUCUUAGCUUUUAACUAAAAAAGAUAAGAGACGUCUCUUAUAUCUCUUAUUUAAGAGACGUUUUUUAGCUUUUUGUAAGAGAUUCAACCUAAGAAACCUACAAUAAACAUGUUUUUAGUUUGUAUAAAAUUAGCAUAUCUCAGCUGUUUCUUUCCUUAGAGACGAGCCAGCUUAGUAAUCAAGUUCGUAUUGAUCCAUACCAACCUAUGAGGAAGGAACAAUAGUAUAGCGGGAUCGGAUGUAGUUGAAAAUGCUCUCGGAUAUAUAGUCAUAAAAAGCUUAAAAUAUGAGUUAAGAUCAGAGUUUCACAGGCCUAGGAAUAGCAGCAUCAGUGAAUAUUUAGAACAUCUUAAACUAUAAGCAAAUAGGAUUAUUAUAAGAUCACAUCACAACCAUACCCAACACUAAUGCAAUGUAUGCACACCUAAUACUUCUUCCAUCACAACAUCCAAUUUUUUUUUGAAUUGUAGAUAUGCUACAUUUAGUCCAGUCUGCUAAUUUUGGUUAAAGGUUUGAUAUAGCUUUUUUAUUUGUAACCUAGCUAGUGUGUUUUCAAAAGUUAAAAGUUUGUAAAUAAAUUAAAUAGUGUUACUAACUUAGAAAAAUACAUAUGACCCGGUAAAAUAUAAAUGGAUGGAAACGCUGAAAUGACUCAAAGCCACACAAUGGCAUACAAAUUCAGCGGUGAUUAGUAUCCUUAACUUACAUUAUUGAUGUAAUUUCUAAAUAUCUGGUUAGAAAUCGAUACCUAAAAUAAACCUCCCUAAAAAUAACUUAUCUACCUCCGGUAUAAAUACUCUUGAACACCAUCCUUUCUCUUCAGACCUGCAAGAAAAUAAAAAUAAAAAGUAACAAAAGUAGCAAGAAAUAAGAAAAGAAAAAAACCUUUCAGGUCUCAACUAAAAAUGGAGAUGAAGAAGAUUGCCUGCGGAGUUCUUUUCGCUGCUGCCUCCAUGACCGCCGUCAUGGCUACAGAGGUUGGAGCUCCUGCACCAGGACCCGCCGCAAGCGGAGCCUCCGUAGCCGUACCGGCUCUUGGCUCAUUGGUUGGAGCUUCCCUUGUGUCUCUCUUCACCUACUACUUAAACUAAAUUAAUCUUAUACAAAAAAUUGAUGCCCAUGUCUGAUUUUGUACGUGUUUAGACAGGCAAAGUGAAUAAGACGGAAGACGAAUACUUUUGAUUAUGGUCAGAUAAACUUGAUGUAAUGCUGAUUAAUAAAUAUACGUUCUUCUC